rnacentral:rRNA from 1 species
AGAGCGAACGCUGGCGGCAGGCCUAACACAUGCAAGUCGAGCGCCCGUAGCAAUACGGGAGCGGCAGACGGGAUAGUAACACGUGGGAACGCGCCCUUCGGUUCGGAAUAACUCAGGGAAACUUGAGCUAAUACCGGAUACGCCCUUACGGGGAAAGAUUUAUUGCCGAAGGAACGGCCCGCGUCCGAUUAGCUAGUUGGUGAGGUAAUGGCUCACCAAGGCGACGAUCGGUAGCUGGUCUGAGAGGAUGACCAGCAUCACUGGGACUGAGACACGGCCCAGACUCCUACGGGAGGCAGCAGUGGGGAAUAUUGGACAAUGGGCGCAAGCCUGAUCCAGCCAUGCCGCGUGGAUGAUGAAGGCCUUAGGGUUGUAAAGUCCUUUAACGGGGAAGAUAAUGACGGUACCCGUAGAAUAAGCCCGGCUAACUUCGUGCCAGCAGCCGC